GUGAUUGGUUUAAUCUGACAACCAAUCGUGAGAGAGGAGAGAACUGCAGAGGCGGGGCCACCAUUUCCAAGCUCAACCGUCAAAGUCCCGCGGCCGGGGAUGCAAGAGGCAAGAGGACCAGCGUUUCUAAGGCAACGAAGUUGGACAAAGCUCUGCACUGAUCCCAGGCUACCCUGCUCUCUCCAUUUAAGUUUUGCCUCAGAAAAGGAAACGUAACCAAGCCAAAUGAACAACUUAGAAACACUGAAGUCCCAAGGACUUCAUAGUGAUGAUGUCCUUGGGACAAUUGGGCCUUUUAAAAUCUAUUUGGGCAGUUUGGAGGCCCUUUUAGGCCCUUUCGAAAUUCCAGAUGAGGUGAUGAAUGCCUUAUUUCUCAUCAUGAGCAGGAGCCAGCCUGGGACAGAGGCUAUCAAUAGUCAGGCUAUGAGCCUGAUUUUGGAGGGCAGCUCCAGGGCCAGGAGUACU